CCAGAGCUGAGAAAGUUUCUGUGCCUUGCCCAGAGUUACACAGCCAGUAAAUAUCUGAGACGGAAUUUAUACUUAGGUUUUCUUGACUCUCUGCCCAACACUGCACAGCACAGAAGUGGUUCCACAGCCCUGGAACAUGGUGGCAAUUUCAACAUUGAAAGUCCAGAGAUGGGACAAGAAACUCAUUACAGGGGUGAUGUCUAGCCUGUGAGCAGGAGAAGAAAGGAAGGAAAAUUGAUACUGAGCAUGUGCAAUGGAAAGAAAGCUGGCAAUGUCAGUGUGAAUAAUGGGUGAAGAAAAGGAAUGAGGGGGUGUGGCAUCUCAAUCAAGAUUAAAAUGAAACUGAUAAAGCAGCAUAUGGACUGGAUAACAAAUCAAAAGCAUGUUUAUCCACUCAAGGAACUGGUUAAUGGAGACUGCCAGCACGUUGCCAUGGAAACACUGACUGUUGGAGCUGCACCAUC